GGAUUAGAUACCCUGGUAGUCCACGCCGUAAACGAUGUCGACUAGCCGUUGGGGAACUUGAGUCCUUGGUGGCGCAGUUAACGCUUUAAGUCGACCGCCUGGGGAGUACGGCCGCAAGGUUGAAACUCAAAGGAAUUGACGGGGGCCCGCACAAGCGGUGGAGCAUGUGGUUUAAUUCGAUGCAACGCGAAGAACCUUACCAGGCCUUGACAUCCUUGGAAUCCUGCAGAGAUGCGGGAGUGCCUUCGGGAAUCAAGUGACAGGUGCUGCAUGGCUGUCGUCAGCUCGUGCUG
rnacentral:rRNA from 1 species